rnacentral:rRNA from 1 species
GGUACACGCUGUGACUAGCAUAUCAAUAAGCGGAGGAAAAGAGGGCUAUUACCUACGCUUAGGAUGUUGACGAGACUGUCGAUCUCAUACAUGACUCUGUGCAUAUCAAUAAGCGGAGGAAAAGAAACUAACAAGGAUUCCCCUAGUAACGGCGAGUGAAGCGGGAAGAGCUCAAAUUUGAAAUCUUAAAGGGUUUCCCUUUACGAAUUGUAGUUUAAAGAAGUGUUUUCUGUUGAGGUUUUGGUAAAAGUUCUUUGGAAUAGGACAUCAUAGAGGGUGAGAAUCCCGUAUUUGACCUUUACUUUCAACUUUGUGAUACACUUUCAAAGAGUCGGAUUGUUUGGGAAUGCAGUCCAAAAUGGGUGGUAAAUUUCAUCUAAAGCUAAAUAUUGGCGAGAGACCGAUAGCGAACAAGUACCGUGAGGGAAAGAUGAAAAGAACUUUGAAAAGAGAGUUAAACAGUACGUGAAAUUGUCAAAAGGGAAGCGUUUGACACCAGUGUUGUUUUUCUGAAAAUCAAUUAAAGAACUGUUUAUGCUAAGCUGUUUAGACUUUAUCAGCUAAUCCUGUUUAGUUUUGAGCUUUUCUUUAAUGCACUUUUCAGUUAACAAGUCAACAUCAAUUUCUUUUGCUGUAGAAAAAGCUUGAGGAAGGUGGCUUGAGAUUCGUCUUAAGUGUUUAUAGCCUCUUGCCUAUGCAGUCGGAGAGAUUGAGGUCUGCAGCGUAGAUCCUUCGGGGCUAAAUGCAUUUGUGCUAAGUUAUAGCAUUUUAUAGACAACUUGUUGACUAUGAUUUGUCUUGUAGCUUACUCGCUUAUGUUAUUUUACCUACGCUUAGGAUGUUGAGUCGUAGAGCACGCAG